rnacentral:rRNA from 1 species
UACAGAGGGUGCGAGCGUUGUCCGGAAUCACUGGGCGUAAAGGGCGCGUAGGCGGCCCGGUAAGGUUGCGGUGAAAGCCCGGGGCUCAACCCCGGGUCGGCCGUGGCAACUGCUGGGCUGGAGCACAGUAGAGGCGGGUGGAAUUCCGGGUGUAGCGGUGGAAUGCGUAGAGAUCCGGAAGAACACCGGUGGCGAAGGCGGCCCGCUGGGCUGUUGCUGACGCUGAGGCGCGACAGCGUGGGGAUCAAACAGG